rnacentral:rRNA from 1 species
AUGGUUUUCUCCUCCUUCCCGAUCUUCCUCGACCCUCCAAGUUGGACCCAGAUGCAGCAGCAGCCACUUCAGUGUUUCAUGGGAGGAGGUGGCGGCAGCGAGCACCAGCACCACCAGCUGAUCCCUGCGUCGUCCGGCCAGCUGGCGCCGCUGCCGGACGUGCCCGGCAGCACUGCAGCAAGCGCGCCGGCGGUGGCCGGGUCGUCUUCUGCCUCGCUGCAGCUGGUUGUGUCGGGACAGCAGGGUAACCCGGGCGAGCAGCCGCCGCGGCCGUCAGUGUCGAUGACCGAGCGCGCCCGGAUGGCCCGCGUGCCGCUGCCGGAGCCCGGCACGCUCCGGUGCCCGCGCUGCGACUCGGCCAACACCAAGUUCUGCUACUUCAACAACUACUCGCUCUCGCAGCCGCGCCACUUCUGCAAGGCGUGCCGCCGCUACUGGACGCGGGGCGGCGCCCUCCGCAACGUCCCCGUCGGCGGCGGCUGCCGCCGCAACACCAAGCGCUCCAGCAAGAAGUCGUCUCGCCAGGGCCAGGGCGGCGGCGGUGCCGUCGCAGCCGCCACGUCCUCCUCCUCCACCACCUCCACCUCCACCACCACGAGCGCCGCCGCGGCGACCGCGGCCGACGUCAUCGCCAGCAUGCAGGCGCUGCCGCACCACCUAGGCGGCCUCCCCGCAGCAGCCGCACUGGAGGCGUCGCUCGAGGGGUACCACAGCCACAGCCACCACCAACACCAUAACCUGCCGUUCCUGCCGCCGCAGUUCCUGCAGCAAGGGCUGCACGGGUACCACUUCGCCGACGGCGACAUCGGCUCACAGCUGGCCGACGGGUUUCCGAGAGGCGUGGCUUCGGGUCUGCUCGCGCAGCUGGCGUCGAUCAAGAUGGAGGAGCAUGGCGCGGGCGCCGCCGGUGCUGGAGGCGGCUUUGUCGGAGGGCACGAGCAGUACUGGCCCGGAAGCGGUGGCGGGGGCGGGUGGCCGACGGAGUUCUUGUCCGGGUUCAGCUCCUCCUCGUCGGGGAAUGUGAUGUGA